AGUGAACGCUGGCGGCGUGCCUAAGACAUGCAAGUCGCACGAGAAAGUCGCAAGAUGAGUAAAGUGGCGCACGGGUGAGUAAUAUUUAGGUAACGUACCUCCUCGCUGGGAAUAACCAGGAGAAAUCUUGGCUAAUACCGAAUACAUCGACAGAGACUGUGGUUUUUGUCGGAAAAGCCGUAAGGCGCGGGGAGAGUGGCUUAAAUCCCAUUAGCUAGUUGGUGAGGUAACGGCCCACCAAGGCUUCGAUGGGUAGCUGGUCUGAGAGGACGACCAGCCACACUGGAACUGAAACACGGUCCAGACUCCUACGGGAGGCAGCAGUUAGGAAUCUUGUGCAAUGGGCGAAAGCCUGACACAGCAACGCCGCGUGAGUGAUGAAGGCCCUCGGGUCGUAAAGCUCUUUUAGUCGGAACGAAAUAAAUGACGGUACCGGCAGAAACAGCACCGGCUAACCCUGUG
rnacentral:rRNA from 1 species